ACUCCUACGGGAGGCAGCAGUGGGGAAUAUUGCACAAUGGGGGAAACCCUGAUGCAGCCAUGCCGCGUGUGUGAAGAAGGCCUUCGGGUUGUAAAGCACUUUCAGUAGGGAGGAAGGUAGUGUAGUUAACACCUGCAUUAUUUGACGUUACCUACAGAAGAAGCACCGGCUAACUCCGUGCCAGCAGCCGCGGUAAUACGGAGGGUGCGAGCGUUAAUCGGAAUUACUGGGCGUAAAGCGCAUGCAGGCGGCCUGUUAAAGUCAGAUGUGAAAGCCCGGGGCUUAUCCUCGGAAUUGCAUUUGAAACUGGCAGGCUAGAGUCUUGUAGAGGGGGGUAGAAUUUCAGGUGUAGCGGUGAAAUGCGU
rnacentral:rRNA from 1 species